rnacentral:rRNA from 1 species
CCCGGGUCUUGUACACACCGCCCGUCACACCAUGGGAGCGGGUUCUGCCAGAAGUAGUUAGCCUAACCGCAAGGAGGGCGAUUACCACGGCAGGGUUCGUGACGUGGGGUA